rnacentral:rRNA from 1 species
GACGAACGCUGGCGGCGUGCCUAAUACAUGCAAGUCGAACGAGAGCGACCGGUGCUUGCACUGGUCAAUCUAGUGGCGAACGGGUGAGUAACACGUGGGUAACCUGCCCAUCAGAGGGGGAUAACAUCCGGAAACGGAUGCUAAAACCGCAUAGGUCUUCGAGCCGCAUGGCUUGAAGAGGAAAAGAGGCGCAAGCUUCUGCUGAUGGAUGGACCCGCGGUGCAUUAGCUAGUUGGUGAGGUAACGGCUCACCAAGGCCGUGAUGCAUAGCCGACCUGAGAGGGUGAUCGGCCACAUUGGGACUGAGACACGGCCCAAACUCCUACGGGAGGCAGCAGUAGGGAAUCUUCCGCAAUGGACGCAAGUCUGACGGAGCAACGCCGCGUGAGUGAAGAGGGUUUUCGGAUCGUAAAACCCUGUUGUUAGAGAAGAACAAGUGCUAGAGUAACUGUUAGCGCCUUGACGGUAUCUAACCAGAAAGCCACGGCUAACUACGUG